rnacentral:rRNA from 1 species
GUGGGGAAUAUUGGACAAUGGGCGAAAGCCUGAUCCAGCCAUGCCGCGUGUGUGAAGAAGGUCUUCGGAUUGUAAAGCACUUUAAGUUGGGAGGAAGGGCAGUAAGUUAAUACCUUGCUGUUUUGACGUUACCGACAGAAUAAGCACCGGCUAACUUCGUGCCAGCAGCCGCGGUAAUACGAAGGGUGCAAGCGUUAAUCGGAAUUACUGGGCGUAAAGCGCGCGUAGGUGGUUUUGUAAGUUGGAGGUGAAAUCCCCGGGCUCAACCUGGGAACUGCCUCCAAAACUGCAUGACUAGAGUACGGUAGAGGGUAGUGGAAUGUCCUGUGUAGCGGUGAAAUGCGUAGAUAUAGGAAGGAACACCAGUGGCGAAGGCGACUACCUGGACUGAUACUGACACUGAGGUGCGAAAGCGUGGGGAGCAAACAGGAUUAGAUACCCUUGUAGUCC